UGGGGAAUAUUGCACAAUGGGCGCAAGCCUGAUGCAGCGACGCCGCGUGAGGGAUGGAGGCCUUCGGGUUGUAAACCUCUUUCGCCAGUGAAGCAGGCCAUCUUCUUUGUGGGGUGGUUGACGGUAGCUGGAUAAGAAGCGCCGGCUAACUACGUGCCAGCAGCCGCGGUAAUACGUAGGGCGCGAGCGUUGUCCGGAAUUAUUGGGCGUAAAGAGCUCGUAGGCGGCUGGUCGCGUCUGUCGUGAAAUCCCCUGGCUUAACUGGGGGCUUGCGGUGGGUACGGGCCGGCAUGAGUGCGGUAGGGGAGACUGGAAUUCCUGGUGUAGCGGUGGAAUGCGCAGAUAUCAGGAGGAACACCGGUGGCGAAGGCGGGUCUCUGGGCCGUUACUGACGCUGAGGAGCGAAAGCGUGGGGAGCGAACAGG
rnacentral:rRNA from 1 species